GGUUUCUUGGAAAUAUAAGAGAUUUACCCUGCCACCUGAGUAUUUGAAGGGCCGCAGUAUUUUGCCUGUGCAAAGGUAGCAUACUCCUUAGUCUUUUAAUUAAGGGCUGGUAUGCAUGGUUGGACGAGGUAAAUCCUGUUUUAUGUAAAUGUAUUGAAUUUAUAUUUUAAGUAAAAAGACUUAAAUGUAGUUAAGGGACGAGAAGACCCUAUAGAGUUUAAUAAGUAAUAUUUUUAAUUAAGUUUAUAAAGGGUUUAUAUUAUUAUAGGACUUAUUUAAUUGGGGUGAUGAAAAGAUAAGUAAAACUCUUUUUUUAGAUAAAUAUAAAUUGAUAAUUAUUUGAUCCAUAAUUGAUGAUAAAAAGAUAAAAUUACCUUAGGGAUAACAGCAUAAUCUUUUUUGAGAGUUCUUAUCGAAAAGAAGGGUUAUGACCUCGAUGUUGGAUUAAGAUGAAUUUUGGGUGUAGAAGUCAAGUCGCC
rnacentral:rRNA from 1 species